CAUUACAGGCGUGUUGGCUGCAGCUGUUUUAUUCUCAGCAGCAGUUCUUGUCCAGCACUGUAAAAAGAAAAGAGGUGAACAGAGAAACGGGGAGAGAGAGUCAAACAAGGAUCAAACACCAACAACACCAGAAGCUACAGGAGGUACAAACGAAGAAACGCCUCGUCAGAGCGGUGAAAAACUCACACCCCCCCCUCUGCUUGAGAGAACUGAAGAGACUUGCAUGUGAUGUAGUAAAUGACUGUGAACCUGGAGAUUUUUGUGUCGUAUGGACAAGAAGAGCAAGAAGAAGAGUUCAAGAUUAACAAACUUAUGGUCGCUGCUGCUGCUGUUAGAGUAAAUAACUAACAGUCCUUAUUCUAGUGUGAAGGAUAUCUAAGGGCACGGAUCACAAUACGGAAAACAUUUUUGCAGAUUCCUCCUUCAUGGUGUGAUGAUGAUGUUGUUUUUUGGCUCAAUAUAUCUCCCAGGUGAACAGAGAUACAGGUAGAGAGAGUCAAACAAUGAUCAAACACCAACGUAAGUAAAUGUUCUGUAUUAGAAAAGCACUGCUGCUGAAUGAACUACAGUUAGAACCAGUUUUCUGCUGCUGAAUCUUGUUUCAUUUUGUCUUCAGGGAAACGGAGCUCAAACAGAUCAGUGAGUCAAUGUUUCCCCAGGGAGGUGAAACCCUGACCCACAAACCUCUGCUUCAGUCAAAUGAUGACUUUGGUCACACGCCGUUCAUUUAAAAUAUGAACUAACGAGAGAAUCUUGCUUCUCUCAGCCUCAAAGUCCUUCAGCUGCUGUUUUUUGUUGUUGCUGCAAACUGUCACUGAGGAGAAGCUUCGUCUGGACUCUCUGCACUAAAGCCCAGAUCAGUGAGAGCUGCAGUGAUGGUCGUCCUUCUGGAAGUUUUCUCCAUGUCCACACAGGAUCUCUGGAGCUCAGCCAGAGUGACCACCGGUCUCUGUGUCUCUGUGCUGUAACUGUGAGGACGGAGCUGUCGUCACCUCCAGCAGAGGGCGCUGUCACCUCAUCAGCCAGUCAACACUGGACUCACUGAGAAAACCUCUAACUGUGUUUCCUCCACUGUCUCUGACCUGCGUCUUAGUCGACACUGAUGUUGAUGUUUUAACACUUCAAGCUCAAGAUAUUUUAAAUACACAUUGUCAAUGUAAAUAAAGUUUAUAUUUCUCAAAGCUCCAAAUGAAAUAAACAAAUAAUGAAAAAAAUGUCUUCAGAUUUCUGAUAGCUCAAUGAUUCAGAGAGGGAAAUUAGUUUUCAAUCGACUACAUACUAAUUAGACUCUCUGUCAGUCCUCCAAUGA